GGGGAAUCUUCCGCAAUGGGCGAAAGCCUGACGGAGCAACGCCGCGUGAGUGAAGACGGCCUUCGGGUUGUAAAGCUCUUUUGUCCGGGACGAAAGAGCCAUAGAGGAAAUGCUAUGGAAGUGACGGUACCGGAAGAAAAAGCCACGGCUAACUACGUGCCAGCAGCCGCGGUAAUACGUAGGUGGCAAGCGUUGUCCGGAAUUAUUGGGCGUAAAGCGCGCGCAGGCGGCCUUUUAAGUCCAUCUUAAAAGCGUGGGGCUCAACCCCAUGAUGGGAUGGAAACUGGGAGGCUGGAGUAUCGGAGAGGAAAGUGGAAUUCCUAGUGUAGCGGUGAAAUGCGUAGAGAUUAGGAAGAACACCGGUGGCGAAGGCGACUUUCUGGACGACAACUGACGCUGAGGCGCGAAAGCGUGGGGAGCAAAC
rnacentral:rRNA from 1 species